rnacentral:rRNA from 7 species
ACGGGUGAGUAAUGCAUCGGGACCUACCCAGACGUGGGGGAUAACGUAGGGAAACUUACGCUAAUACCGCAUACGUCCUACGGGAGAAAGCAGGGGACCUUCGGGCCUUGCGCGGUUGGACGGACCGAUGUGCGAUUAGCUAGUUGGUAGGGUAAUGGCCUACCAAGGCGACGAUCGCUAGCUGGUCUGAGAGGAUGAUCAGCCACACUGGGACUGAGACACGGCCCAGACUCCUACGGGAGGCAGCAGUGGGGAAUAUUGGACAAUGGGCGCAAGCCUGAUCCAGCAAUGCCGCGUGUGUGAAGAAGGCCCUCGGGUUGUAAAGCACUUUUAUCAGGAACGAAAUACCACGGGUUAAUACCCUAUGGGGCUGACGGUACCUGAGGAAUAAGCACCGGCUAACUUCGUGCCAGCAGCCGCGGUAAUACGAAGGGUGCAAGCGUUAAUCGGAAUUACUGGGCGUAAAGGGUGCGUAGGCGGUUGUUUAAGUCUGUCGUGAAAUCCCCGGGCUCAACCUGGGAAUGGCGAUGGAUACUGGACAGCUAGAGUGUGUCAGAGGAUGGUGGAAUUCCCGGUGUAGC